ensembl:lncRNA
GGGGGGGCAUUAUUUUGUGGCUGUGGUGACUAGUGACAACCGCUUUCAUUGAGCAGUACUACGACUGGCUCGACUACACGAGCCAGUCGAGCUCCUGAAUAGCUAACUAGCUUUAGCAUGCUAAAACAUUAGCCUGUCUUCUCCAGUUAAACUUCUAAAUGUCUUAGUGGGUUUAGCAUGCUAAGCCUUUAGCUUGUCAGGGAGGGAAAGACGUGCAUGGGUUCUCAGGAGGGGGGCUAACAUUCUAUUGAAAUUGUGAAACCCUUUCAAAUCGUUUUUAUUGUGUUCAUAUUUCUUUCCCAAGUUUUUUGUGGCUGUGUUAUGAAAGGCCUUGUUUCUUGAUGUCAGUGCUAAGAGCUUUCCCGUUACUAGCAGUUUCCUAAUCGCAGCAUAACCUGCCAGGACUUCACACUCAUUUGACAAGAUGUCAUACGAAACAAAAUGGUCAUAUGAAAGGGAAAAAAAUAGAAUGAAUAAAGGCUAGUUUGAGCAUUCAGUCGACCGCAAGGAAAAUAAAGCUCUGAGCAAUGUACUCACAUUAGGAGCCAUUUGAGAUUUUUUCCCCCUCUUUUCCUUAUUUUUUUUUUUGUUGCACGGAUUAAUUCCCAUAUUCACAGUGUGCCUAGAGCAUGCUUGUCCCUUCCAUGUCUGAGCAGUAAGCAGAUGCGAGAGAAAUGGUCGCUUUCCCCCACAAGGAAACCGUACCCAGUGGAAUACAUUGAGGGUCUAUGCUGACAACAUGGUGGCUGUCUUAGUAAGGGAAGCCUCCACACACCCUCCCUUGACCUACUGCUUAUGGCGUGAGUAAAUGCUCGCCAUAACGUGAUGUCUCAAUUAUGCCAUAUCACUGCUGGCAAAACUGUGCAGAAAAUCAUGCCUUUCCCAGUGAUCGGAACAGAAGCUUGGGAGGAAAGCAGUGGCUGUGCUUGACUUAUGACUGAAUAGAUGAAGAUUUGCUGUUUUAACAUGAUGCCUGAUGAGUCGGUUUGUUGCAACCCUCGUCUUCGAAGCCUCACAGGCCCAAGUUUCAUCAAUUUCAUCUUCAUACGGUGCAAUGUUCAUGAGAGUUGCCUGGGAGAAGUGUGCAUAUUCAUGAAAUGUGAUGAGUCCUAUUCAGUUAAUAUGUAAGAUUGGGGUGGUAAGUUACACAGAGAAACAGAAAGGGUACCGUGUUCAUGAAGGAGUGUAUUUGCCAUAGCUUUGGCUUCAUAUACACUAGAGAUCCCCACUGUGGAAAAUCCAGCACUGCCAAAGGCACUGAUUUGCUUUUUCUAGUAAAAAAACUCCCUUUGUAUUCUGUUUCACCAUUACACAGUAAGAAACACACUAUUUUCUUAACACUCAAUGUGUUGUGAGCCCACACCCAAGGUGUUUCAUUUGUAACCCCAAUUCCAUAAGUUACGUGUGAGUCUGCGUUAAGUGCAAUGCUUCUGUUUUUGUUUUACAUGCCAAGUUUGUAUCCAAAACGUGAACAACUGUUACAGAAUGGUGACUGAAUACUCAGUUUUGUUGUAUUGUUUUUGUAUUUAUCUUUCCUAGUCAAGUGAAAUUAUAGUUCAGCUUGUACAGAAUGAAAUCUUGAUUUUUCCCUGGUAGCCAACUCUUAAAACAAGUCCAUAGUUACAUUUACCUUUUACUGCAGUGGGCUAAUUCAGGGUCAUGCAGAGUGUUUCUUGGUAGUUUUAAAGUAAUACUACUUUGAAACAAUAGUAUACACCUGUUCCAAAUCAGAUAUAGAGUUGUAUAACAUUUUGAAUCUGCAUCCUAAUAUUAACUUUAUAUACAUCACAGAAAACUGAAAUAUUAAAUAAAUAAAUAGAAAACGCUGGAAUAGAAACACAGAGUUUUUGGCAUGAAAAAAAUAGACGUUUAUUAAUUAUGAAUAAUGAAUAAAUAAUGCAUAAUAUUUAUAACAUUCCACCCAUGAGGCCACUAGGUAAUUUGACUGCAGGAAGACCAAAAAUUGAAAAUUGUGAUAACACAUACUAGAAUGUCAUUUUAUGCAUUUUGGAAAUUAAUAUAUCAAAGUUUGACUGUAUUUGAUUUGAAAUUGAAGAUGGAUAUCUCAUUCUUGAUUUACUGGUACAAUGAAAUCAGAGACGAAAGCAACUUUCCCCAUUUGUGAUUAUUGUAUUUUCCCCUGUAGCCUGGUCCCAGAUCUGUUAGUGCUGAAUAGCCAACUCUCAGCUAAGCAGCACAAACAGAUCUGGGACCAAGCUAUUUCCCUUGUGCUGUAGGGUGAAAAAUGUGUGCUGUGUAUGCAUAGAGAGUAGCAACAGUGUUGCAGGUGGCAACAGUAACCUGUAAAGGGACUGAACCACCAGUGGUAUUAAAGGAUCCCCUGACUGGGCCAAACCAUCUCCCUCUGACUGGGCCAAACCAUCUCCCUCUGACUUGGCCAAACCAUCUCAUGCUCACCCUGUAUUUUUGGUAUUCUUACUUGAGAUCUGCACUACGGUUUCCAUAUUAAGUACAUGCUUAACUAAUACGUCUCUUAUUGUCAUGAAAGUUAAAUUAUUGUUAGGAAAGUCUGAUUUGCGCAAGUCAUUGAGGAGACGGGGGCUUGUGAAACUAUUAGGUGUCAUUCAUUUGGUGUCAAUUGAUUACUAGCUCAAUCAGGAAGAGAGCGAAUGUUUGGAUCAACAUUCACACUCGUUGAUGGUGCACUUUAACUUUCUAUUAUUCUGCUAAGCUACGGAAUGGUUUGAUUUGAAUUUCAUGAGUGCUGCCUUGCCACAGAAAGCGAGUGAAUUACUUCCAAAUAGUUCAAUGCUGCCACAUAAAUAAAUACAUUUUGUUAGUCCUUCAUAUUGUAAUUUGUAAAAUGAUGACAUGAUGAAUAAAGAAAAUAUAA